GGCACUUGUGUGUUGUUGUUUUUUUUUUUUUUUUUUUUUUUACUUGUGGACCAAGACUUAAUGGACAGGUGCAGAAAUAAAUUCUAUUUUGCAACCCAGAGCUCAUUAUUCAGAAAGAGUUUUGGUGCAUACAAGAAGGAGUAUU
ensembl:snoRNA